GACGAACGCUGGCGGCGUGCUUAACACAUGCAAGUCGUACGGUAAGGCCCUUUCGGGGGUACACGAGUGGCGAACGGGUGAGUAACACGUGAGUAACCUGCCCACAACUUUGGGAUAACGCUAGGAAACUGGUGCUAAUACUGGAUAUGUGCUCCUGCUGCAUGGUGGGGGUUGGAAAGCUCCGGCGGUUGUGGAUGGACUCGCGGCCUAUCAGCUUGUUGGUGGGGUAGUGGCCUACCAAGGCGGCGACGGGUAGCCGGCCUGAGAGGGUGACCGGCCACAUUGGGACUGAGAUACGGCCCAGACUCCUACGGGAGGCAGCAGUGGGGAAUAUUGCACAAGGGGCGCAAGCCUGAUGCAGCAACGCCGCGUGCGGGAGGACGGCCUUCGGGUUGUAAACCGCUUUCAGCAGGGACGAAGCUUUUUGUGACGGUACCUGCAGAAGAAGCACCGGCUAACUACGUG
rnacentral:rRNA from 1 species